rnacentral:misc_RNA from 1 species
GAUGAAGAACGUAGCGAAAUGCGAUAAGUAAUGUGAAUUGCAGAAUCCAGUGAAUCAUCGAAUCUUUGAACGCACAUUGCGCCCGCCAGCAUUCUGGCGGGCAUGCCUGUUCGAGCGUCAUUUCAACCCUCGACCUCCCCUUGGGGAGGUCGGCGUUGGGGACCGGCAGCACACCGCCGGCCCUGAAAUGGAGUGGCGGCCCGUCUGCGGCGACCUCUGCGUAGUAAUACAGCUCGCACCGGAACCCCGACGCGGCCACGCCGUAAAACACCCAACUUCUGAACGUUGACCUCGAAUCAGGUAGGACUACCCGCUGAACUUAAGCAUACAAUAAGCGGAGGA